rnacentral:rRNA from 1 species
ACAUGCCUACAACAUAACAUUAAUGCAUCGAAUCCCAUUAGAACUCCAUAGUUAAGCGCACUUAGGCUAGAGUAGUACUAGAAUGGGUGACCACCAGAGAAGUCCUAGUGUUUUACAUGCC